GACGAACGCUGGCGGCGUGCUUAACACAUGCAAGUCGAACGGAAAGGCCCUGCUUGCAGGGUACUCGAGUGGCGAACGGGUGAGUAACACGUGGGUGAUCUGCCCUGCACUUCGGGAUAAGCCUGGGAAACUGGGUCUAAUACCGGCUAGGAGCCAUUUUUAGUGUGAUGGUUGGAAAGUUUUUUCGGUGUAGGAUGAGCUCGCGGCCUAUCAGCUUGUUGGUGGGGUAAUGGCCUACCAAGGCGGCGACGGGUAGCCGGCCUGGGAGGGUGGACGGCCACAUUGAGACUGAGGUACGGCCCAGACACCUACUGGAGGCAGCAGGGGGGAAUAUUGCACAAUGGGCGCAAGCCGGAUGCAGCGACGCCGCGUGGGGGAUGACGGCCUUCGGGUUGUAAACUCCUUUCGCUAGGGACGAAGCUUUUUGUGACGGUACCUAGAUAAGAAGCACCGGCUAACUACGUG
rnacentral:rRNA from 1 species